rnacentral:rRNA from 1 species
UACGAAGGGGGCUAGCGUUGUUCGGAUUUACUGGGCGUAAAGCGCACGUAGGCGGAUCGUUAAGUCAGGGGUGAAAUCCUGGAGCUCAACUCCAGAACUGCCUUUGAUACUGAAGAUCUUGAGUUCGGGAGAGGUAAGUGGAAUUCCGAGUGUAGAGGUGAAAUUCGUAGAUAUUCGGAAGAACACCAGUGGCGAAGGCGACUUACUGGACACAUAUUGACGCUGAGGUGCGAAAGCGUGGGGAGCAAACAGG